AUGGUCACGGCUAACCGCUUUUGGUCCCAAAUCUUUGGUGUUGCUUUUUCCAAUAAACGCUGGUUACAUUUCUUUAUGCUAUUUGUACCCGUCACCGGUUUAUGGAUGAGUGCUAUUGGCAUAGUUGGCUUGGCUCUGAACUUACGUUCCUAUGACUUUGUUUCCAGGAAAAACGCUCUCAACAACUCAUGA
rnacentral:rRNA from 1 species